AUCAAAACCUCUGCUCCAAGUUCACGUGAAAGAAAUCAAACCAACUCAAACCCUUCUCCCUCACGCUGCUGUCCACGCCGCCGCCACCACCGCCGGCGCUCCUCCGCCGUCGCUGCUGCACGCAACCACAUCAGCCACCGAGCUCGACUGCCGGCGACCAAGACCACCGGUCUUCCUCCAUCGGUAACGCUCUCCGCACCUUCGUCCUUCUUCCUCUCAUUCGUUUUUCCUUUUCUUUUUCUCAUUCGUUUUUCUUCCUUCUUAAGUUAUUUCAUUUCUUGCCUCCUCCUCUUUCGAUUUUUGCACAACCGCCGCCUAGUCGUGCAACCACUCCUCCGCUGCCGCCGAGCAGUUCUUCCGCUGCCGGCCGCACCUCACACCGCCUGCCACCUUCGUCAUCCCUUGUUGGCGGAGAAUUCUCUUUAGGCAACUUUUGAAAGUGUUAAAGUGGCCUAUCAGUUUGUUUACACAAG